GAUGAACGCUGGCGGCGUGCCUAAUACAUGCAAGUCGAGCGAACGGACGAGAAGCUUGCUUCUCUGAUGUUAGCGGCGGACGGGUGAGUAACACGUGGAUAACCUACCUAUAAGACUGGGAUAACUUCGGGAAACCGGAGCUAAUACCGGAUAAUAUUUUGAACCGCAUGGUUCAAAAGUGAAAGACGGUCUUGCUGUCACUUCUAGGUGGAUCCGGGCUGCAUUAGCUAGUUGGUAAGGUAACGGCUUACCAAGGCAACGAUGCAUAGCCGACCUGAGAGGGUGAUCGGCCACACUGGAACUGAGACACGGUCCAGACUCCUACGGGAGGCAGCAGUAGGGAAUCUUCCGCAAUGGGCGAAAGCCUGACGGAGCAACGCCGAGUGAGUGAUGAAGGUCUUCGGAUCGUAAAACUCUGUUAUUAGGGAAGAACAUAUGUGUAAGUAACUGUGCACAUCUUGACGGUACCUAAUCAGAAAGCCACGGCUAACUACGUG
rnacentral:rRNA from 1 species